ensembl:lncRNA
GAUGGGAAUGAUAAGAUCAAGUUCUUUCCUUAAAGAGAAGAAUGAAAGGAAGGCCAACAAGGCUGACAUCCUGGUGGAAGCCUGUUGUAGACAAUCCAACCAUAUGAAGAGACAGAUGAAGCAUUAUAAGAGCAGCUAGCAGAAGUCAUGCAAUUGUUCUUUGUUCUUUAUUCUUGUCCACUGGUUCUCAUAGGGGAAUUCAACUUACCUGAUAUUUGAUGGAAAUACAAUACAGCAGAGAGGAAGUAGUCCAGGAGGUUCCUGGAGACUGUGGAAGAUAACUUCCUGAAAGUAAGAGAGCCUACAAGGGGAAGCACCCUGUUAUUCCUGCUGUUUACAAACAGAUAAGCUGUCUUGGGCACAGCAAACAGAAAAUGAUGGAGUUGUCUAUUCUUGGUGAAGUCAGGAGGGAGAUCAGUAAAACUGCUACCUUGGACUUCUAGAGGGCUGAGUUUGAACUGCUCAGGAUGUUGGUUGGAAGAAUCUCUUGGCUGGGGAGUCAGUCCUGGAGGGCAAAACUGUCCAGGAAGGCUGCACAUUCCCCAAGAAGGAAACCUUAACAGGCUGUCUCUCUGGGCUAUAAGAUGAGCCAGCAGGGAAGAAGCACGGCCUGGCUGAACAGGGAGUUUUGCCAAGACUCUAAGAAAAAAAGAGUUUAUGAUCUUUGGAAGAAGGGUCAAGCAACUUGGGAAGAGUACAAGGAUGUUACUAGGGUAUGCAGAGGGAAAAGCUAAAAGCCCCAGAAAAACUUAAUAUGGCCACCAUUGUUAAAGAUAAUAAAAAUGUUUUUACAAAUAUAUUAACAGCAAAACUAGGGCCAAGAAGAAUCUCCUGCCUUUAUUGCUGUGGCAGGGAACAUUAUCACUGAGAACAAGGAAAAAGCUGUGGUUCUCAAUGCCUUCUUUACUUCUGUCUUUAAUUGUCAGGGUAUUCUCAGGGUAUUUGGCCCUCUGAUAUGGAAGACAGGGAUGGGGAGCUGAAUAACUCCCCCACAAUUCAGGAGGAAAUAGUGACAUGCUACUUCACCUAGACUGUCACAAGUCCAUGAGGCCAGAUAGGAUCCACUCAAAGGUACUGAGGGAGCUGGCAGAAGUGAUUGCUAAGCCUCUUUCCAUCAUUUAUCAGUAGUUCUGGUCAAACAAAGAGGUCCCAAAUGACUGCAAACUUGCUAACGUGACACCUGUCUACAAGAUGGGUUGUAAGGAGGGUCUAGGGAACUACAGACCUGUCAGCCUGACCUCAGUGCUGGAGAAGGCCAUGGAGCAGAUCGUCUUGACUGCAAUCAUAUGCCAUGUGCAGGACAGCCAGGGGAUCAAGCCUAGCAAGCUUAGGUUCAUGAAAGGCAGGUCAUGCUUGAUCAGCCCGAUCUUCUAUGACAAGGUGACCGGUCUAGGUGAUGAGGGAAAGGCUGUAGAUGCAAUCUACCAAGACUUUAGUAAAGCCUUCAACUCUGUACUCCCAAUACUCCCACAGUACUGGGAAAGCUGGCAUUCCAUUGCUUAGACAUAUAUACUCUUCACUUGGUGAAAAACUGUCUGGAUGGCCAGACUCAGAGAGUGGUAGCGAAUAGAGUUAAAUCCAGCUGGCAACCUGUCCCUAUUGCUGUUUCUCAGGGUUCAUUACUGGGCCUGCCCUGUUUAGUAUCUUUAUUGAUGAUCUGUACAAGGGGAUUGAGUGCACCCUCAGUAAGUUUGCAGAUGACACCAAGUCAGGAGGAGCCCUAAAUCUGAGGGUAGGAAGACCUUGCAGAGGGAUCUGGAUAGGCUCAAUCACUGGGCUGACAUCAACUGUAUGAGACUUAACAAGACCAAGUGCUGAGCAGGACUAGGGAGGCAAUUGUCACCCUGUACUCAGCACUGGUGAGGCUGCAUUUCAGGUAAUGUGUUCAGUCUGGGACUUGUAGUGGAAUUCCAUGGUCACAGCCUAAACAGUACAUGAGCACAUGGGUGUCUGGAGAGAGGCGCAGGGCUAGAGUCACCUUUUCUGUCUCAGCGAUUCUUCUGGGAAUGCGUGUGCAGUCUGAGUCUGUAUGGGUUCCCUUUCCUCCUGCCCUUCUCCUGCAGCAUGAGAGUACACAUGGGAGAAGGCUACAUUCCUCAGCUUGCCCCUUUCUCCAAACUGUUACUGGGAGGGGUGAGUUAAUUCCUCUUUGAUAUCUUUUCCUAUAGCGCCUACUUCUCAAAUAAAGGCUCUGUCAU